rnacentral:rRNA from 1 species
GACGAACGCUGGCGGCGUGCCUAAUACAUGCAAGUAGGACGCAGUUGCGAACGGGUGUGUAACGCGUAGGUAACUGCCUCUUAGAGGGGGAUAACUAUUGGAAACGAUAGCUAAUACCGCAUACUAGUAGAUGGACCUGCGUUGUAUUAGCUAGUAGGUAGGGUAAUGGCCUACCUAGGCGACGAUACAUAGCCGACCUGGGUGGGAGAGUGGCAACACUGGGAUGGGAACACGGGCCAGGCCCCUACGGGAAGCAGCAGUAGGGGAUCUUCGGCAAAGGGGGGAACCCUGACCGAGCAACGCCGCGGUAGGGAAGAAGGUUUUCGGAUCGUAAAGCUCUGUUGUUAAGGGAGCGGUACUUAACCAGAAAGGGACGGCUAACUACGUGCCAGCAGCCGCGGUAAUAC